rnacentral:rRNA from 1 species
AGACAAUGGGCGAAAGCCUGAUCUAGCCAUGCCGCGUGAGUGAUGAAGGUCUUAGGAUCGUAAAGCUCUUUCGCUAGGGAUGAUAAUGACAGUACCUAGUAAAGAAGCCCCGGCUAACUCCGUGCCAGCAGCCGCGGUAAUACGGAGGGGGCUAGCGUUGUUCGGAAUUACUGGGCGUAAAGCGUACGUAGGCGGAUCAGAAAGUAUGGGGUGAAAUCCCAGGGCUUAACCCUGGAACUGCCUCAUAAACUCCUGGUCUUGAGUUCGAGAGAGGUGAGUGGAAUUCCAAGUGUAGAGGUGAAAUUCGUAGAUAUUUGGAGGAACACCAGUGGCGAAGGCGGCUCACUGGCUCGAUACUGACGCUGAGGUACGAAAGUGUGGGGAGCAAACAGGAUUAGAUACCCUGGUAGUCCACACCGUAAACGAUGAAUGCCAGUCGUCGGGCAGUAUACUGUUCGGUGACACACCUAACGGAUAAGCAUUC